CCCCUGCUCAUGAAAGCCUGCCAGGCUGGGUCCCUGCAGACUCUGGAGAGGAGCCUUCCUGUGUGAGCCUCUCAGUGUCCACACCAUGGGGUCUGCGCUCAUCUGGGCUGCCCUUCUCUUCGCUGUCAAAGGUGGCCUGUGCCAAGUUCAGCUGGUGGAGUCUGGGGGAGGCGUGGUGCCGCCCGGGGGGUCUCUGAGCCUCUCUUGCAAAGCCUCUGGAUUCACCUUCACUGACUACAUCAUGGACUGGGUCCGCCAGGCUCCAGGGAAGGGGCUGCAGUGGGUGGCAAGAGUGAGUAAACCAACUGGAAAGGAUCAGUGGUAUGCUCCAGCAGUUCAAGGAAGAUUCACAAUCUCCAGGGACAACCCCACGAGCACAGUCUCUCUUAAAAUGACCAAGCUGACAUCUGAGGACAUGGCCGUGUAUUACUGUACAAGACACAGUGAAGGGAAGUCAUUGGAAGAGCAUGUCUUUUUCUUUGAAUCUCUAAGUUCUCACAUCGUCGCUGGGACCCAAAGGAGAAGGAGCACUGUGUUUGCAGAAGUGCUCACAGCACAGCCCCUCACCAUGGACUGGAGCUGGAGAACCCUCCUCCUGGUGGCUGUGGCUACAGAUGAGACCACUCUUCUCGACUGGGAGUGGUUGCUGGUGCAGCUGGUGCAGUCUGGGGCUGAUGUGAAGGAGCCUGGAGCCUCCGUGAAGGUCCCCUGCAAGGCUUCUGGAUACACCUUCACCAGCUACUGGAUGCAAUGGGUGUGA